UACGAAGGGGGCUAGCGUUGCUCGGAAUUACUGGGCGUAAAGGGAGCGUAGGCGGACAUUUAAGUCAGGGGUGAAAUCCCGGGGCUCAACCUCGGAAUUGCCUUUGAUACUGGGUGUCUUGAGUAUGAGAGAGGUAUGUGGAACUCCGAGUGUAGAGCUGAAAUUCGUAGAUAUUCGGAAGAACACCAGUGGCGAAGGCGACAUACUGGCUCAUUACUGACGCUGAGGCUCGAAAGCGUGGGGAGCAAACAGG
rnacentral:rRNA from 1 species